GGGAUAAUACCCCAUAGACUAUGAAUGCUGGAAUGCUUUGUAGUUGAAAGGUCCGCCGCCAUAGGAUGGGUCUGCGGCCGAUUAGGUUGUUGUUGGGGUAACGGCCCAACAAGCCUGUAAUCGGUACGGGUUGUGGGAGCAAGAGCCCGGAGAUGGAUUCUGAGACACGAAUCCAGGCCCUACGGGGCGCAGCAGGCGCGAAAACUUUACAAUGCGGGAAACCGUGAUAAGGGAACUCCGAGUGCCCGUAAAAUCGGGCUGUCCAUCUGUUUAAAUAACAGGUGAAGAAAGGGCCGGGCAAGACCGGUGCCAGCCGCCGCGGUAAUACCGGCGGCUCGAGUGGUGGCCACUAUUACUGGGCUUAAAGCGUUCGUAGCUGGUCUGUUAAGUCUCUGGGGAAAUCUACUGGCUUAACCAAUAGGCGUCUCAGGGAUACUGGCAGACUAGGGACCGGGAGAGGUGAGAGGUACUCCAGGGGUAGGAGUGAAAUCCUGUAAUCCUUGGGGGACCACCUGUGGCGAAGGCGUCUCACCAGAACGGCUCCGACAGUGAGGGACGAAAGCUGGGGGAGCAAACCGGAUUAGAUACCCGGGUAGUCCCAGCUGUAAACGAUGCGCGUUAGGUGUAUCGGUGACCACGAGUCAUCGAGGUGCCGAAGAGAAAUCGUGAAACGUGCCGCCUGGGAAGUACGGUCGCAAGGCUGAAACUUAAAGGAAUUGGCGGGG
rnacentral:rRNA from 1 species